rnacentral:rRNA from 1 species
GUGCGAAGCCAGCCGCAAGAUGAGAACUCCAUUGAGGGUCGUCAGAGACGAUGACGUUGAUAGGAUGCAGGUGUAAAGACAGCGAUGUCAAAGCCGAGCAUUACUAAUUGCCCGAACACUUUCUUUAU